ensembl:lncRNA
GUCUGGUCUCCUUCACCACCAGUAGGUAAACUCCCUCUGUAGUCUGGUCUCCUUCACCACCAGCAGGUAAACUCCCUCUUUACCUCUGUAGUCUGGUCUCCUUCACCACCAGCAGGUAAACUCCCUCUUUACCUCUGUAGUCUGGUCUCCUUCCCCACCAGCAGGUAAACUCCCUCUUUACCUCUGUAGUCUGGUCUCCUUCCCCACCAGCAGGUAAACUCCCUCUUUACCUCUGUAGUCUGGUCUCCUUCACCACCAGCAGGUAAACUCCCUCUUUACCUCUGUAGUCUGGUCUCCUUCACCACCAGCAGGUAAACUCCCUCUUUACCUCUGUAGUCUGGUCUCCUUCACCACCAGCAGGUAAACUCCCUCUGUAGUCUGGUCUCCAUCACCACCAGCAGGUAAACUCCCUCUUUA